CGCGGUAAUUCCAGCUCCAAUAGCGUAUAUUAAAGUUGUUGCAGUUAAAACGCUCGUAGUCGGAUUUCGGGGCGGGCCCGCCGGUCUGCCGAUGGGUAUGCACUGGCGGGCGCGUCCUUCCUCCCGGAGACGGCUGCUACUCUUAACUGAGCGGUGGUCGGAGACGGGAUAUUUACUUUGAAAAAAUCAGAGUGUUUCAAGCAGGCAGUCGCUCUUGCAUGGAUUAGCAUGGGAUAAUGAAAUAGGACUCUGGUGCUAUUUUGUUGGUUUCGAGCACCGGAGUAAUGAUUAACAGGGACAGUCAGGGGCACUCGUAUUCCGCCGAGAGAGGUGAAAUUCUCAGACCAGCGGAAGACGAACCACUGCGAAAGCAUUUGCCAGGGAUGUUUUCACUGAUCAAGAACGAAAGUUAGGGGAUCGAAGACGAUCAGAUACCGUCGUAGUCUUAACCAUAAACCAUGCCGACUAGGGAUUGGAGGAUGUUCCAUUUGUGACUCCUUCAGCACCUUUCGGGAAACUAAAGUCUUUGGGUUCCGGGGGGAGUAUGGUCGCAAGGCUGAAACUUAAAGGAAUUGACGG
rnacentral:rRNA from 1 species